rnacentral:rRNA from 7 species
UGACCUCAAAUCAGGUAGGACUACCC